rnacentral:rRNA from 1 species
ACACAUGCAGUCGAGCGGUAGCACAGAGAGCUUGCUCUCGGGUGACGAGCGGCGGACGGGUGAGUAAUGUCUGGGAAACUGCCUGAUGGAGGGGGAUAACUACUGGAAACGGUAGCUAAUACCGCAUAAUGUCGCAAGACCAAAGUGGGGGACCUUCGGGCCUCAUGCCAUCAGAUGUGCCCAGAUGGGAUUAGCUAGUAGGUGGGGUAACGGCUCACCUAGGCGACGAUCCCUAGCUGGUCUGAGAGGAUGACCAGCCACACUGGAACUGAGACACGGUCCAGACUCCUACGGGAGGCAGCAGUGGGGAAUAUUGCACAAUGGGCGCAAGCCUGAUGCAGCCAUGCCGCGUGUGUGAAGAAGGCCUUCGGGUUGUAAAGCACUUUCAGCGGGGAGGAAGGCGUUAAGGUUAAUAACCUUGGCGAUUGACGUUACCCGCAGAAGAAGCACCGGCUAACUCCGUGCCAGCAGCCGCGGUAAUACGGAGGGUGCAAGCGUUAAUCGGAAUUACUGGGCGUAAAGCGCACGCAGGCGGUCUGUCAAGUCGGAUGUGAAAUCCCCGGGCUCAACCUGGGAACUGCAUUCGAAACUGGCAGGCUAGAGUCUUGUAGAGGGGGGUAGAAUUCCAGGUGUAGCGGUGAAAUGCGUAGAGAUCUGGAGGAAUACCGGUGGCGAAGGCGGCCCCCUGGACAAAGACUGACGCUCAGGUGCGAAAGCGUGGGGAGCAAACAGGAUUAGAUACCCUGGUAGUCCACGCCGUAAACGAUGUCGAUUUGGAGGUUGUGCCCUUGAGGCGUGGCUUCCGGAGCUAACGCGUUAAAUCGACCGCCUGGGGAGUACGGCCGCAAGGUUAAAACUCAAAUGAAUUGACGGGGGCCCGCACAAGCGGUGGAGCAUGUGGUUUAAUUCGAUGCAACGCGAAGAACCUUACCUGGUCUUGACAUCCACAGAACUUUCCAGAGAUGGAUUGGUGCCUUCGGGAACUGUGAGACAGGUGCUGCAUGGCUGUCGUCAGCUCGUGUUGUGAAAUGUUGGGUUAAGUCCCGCAACGAGCGCAACCCUUAUCCUUUGUUGCCAGCGGUUAGGCCGGGAACUCAAAGGAGACUGCCAGUGAUAAACUGGAGGAAGGUGGGGAUGACGUCAAGUCAUCAUGGCCCUUACGACCAGGGCUACACACGUGCUACAAUGGCAUAUACAAAGAGAAGCGACCUCGCGAGAGCAAGCGGACCUCAUAAAGUAUGUCGUAGUCCGGAUUGGAGUCUGCAACUCGACUCCAUGAAGUCGGAAUCGCUAGUAAUCGUAGAUCAGAAUGCUACGGUGAAUACGUUCCCGGGCCUUGUACACACCGCCCGUCACACCAUGGGAGUGGGUUGCAAAAGAAGUAGGUAGCUUAACCUUCGGGAGGGCGCUACC